GCAUGUGUAUAUGUGCCUUUUGAAUAAAAAAAUAAAGAAGCCUCUUAACCGAGAAGAGUCAGCAAGCAAAAAGGUAACGUGACAGAGCCUGUUAUACAGUACAACACGUAACUACAUCGGAUUGGCUUUUCAAAGGUGGCGACAACUUUGAGAUUUCGAGGAUUUAAAACAGACCAAGAGAUGGAGUUUUUCCUUACUUGACAGGAAUUGUCCUCUGUCCUUCUUCAUUCACAGUCUAGUGGUUUAAACUGCUUCUGUCCAGCCUAUCCGGUGGUGGUGUUGGCCAGACAGCGGGCCGUGCCAUGCUACAGGCGUGAGAGCUUGUCCCCCGGCAGACUCAGGCGAGGUGGUCCCAGUGGGUGUCUGGCUGCAGGAGGUUAUGAAGCUAAAGCAGCGUGUGGUGGUUCUGUGUGCUGUGCUUUUUCUCCUCGGCCUGGCCAAAGUCUUCAUGCUGGAUGGAGGGGAGGGCUCGGCCACUAGCCGUCGCGACCUCCGUGCCUUCCGCAAUAUGGAGGCCAGCCUGUCUCUUGCCAAAGGAGAUCGCCUCACAAACACCCUGCAGUCGCCCUGGGAAGUGGCCGCCCAGUGGGUCGGGCCACGGGAGGUGUACCCAGACGAAACACCCGAGCUAGCCGCCGUGCUGAACGCCCUUGCCACUGCUCAUGUGGAAAGAGCAGAUGUGGGAUAUAAAGGCACCCAGCUGAAAGCCCUGCUGGUGCUCGACGGAGGACAGAAAGUGGUGUUCAAACCCAAGAGGUACAACAGAGAUGAUGUGGUCGAGGGAGAGCCAUAUGCAGGCUACGAUCGACAUAAUGCAGAAAUUGCUGCUUUUCACUUGGACAGGAUCCUGGGUUUUAGGAGAGCGCCUCUGGUGGUGGGGAGGUUUAUGAAUCUAAUUACAGAGAUAAAGCCAGCAGCCACAGACCAACUGCUAAGCACUUUUCUGAUGCACGGAAAUAACUCAUGCUUCUAUGGGAAGUGUUAUUACUGUCGUGAGACUGAGCCUGCCUGUGCAGAGGCAGAUGUGAUGGAGGGAUCGGUUACCCUGUGGCUUCCUGAUGUCUGGCCACUACAGAAACACAGGCACCCCUGGGGACGGACAUACCGAGAGGGCAAACUUGCCAGGUGGGAGUAUGAUGAGAGCUACUGUGAGGCUGUCCAGAAAAUGCCUCCAUAUGAUGCCGGUCCACGGCUUCUGGACGUCAUCGACACCGCCAUCUUUGAUUACCUCAUCGGCAAUGCUGAUCGCCAUCACUACGAGAGUUUCCAGGACGAUGGCGGAGCCAGCAUGCUUAUCCUUCUGGACAAUGCUAAAAGUUUUGGCAACCCUGCUCUGGAUGAGAGGAGUAUUCUCGCACCUCUUUAUCAGUGCUGCAUGGUCCGUGUCUCCACCUGGAACAGGCUAAACCUGCUGAAAGGGGGUGUUUUGAGUUCAGCAAUGCGACAGGCCACAGCCCACGACCCCACUUUUCCAGUGCUCACGGAGCCACAUCUCGCCGCACUUGACCGACGUCUCAGCGGAGUGCUCGCCACCGUGCGGCAGUGCAUGGAGACACAGGGCGCAGACAACACACUGAUCGAGGACCGCAUGAACCUGCCUCAUCCUUAAAGACAUUGGAGAUCAGAGGAGAAAUACAAAGUGAAAAUGUGUUUGUGGAGCUAAACAUUGACUCUUGAUGCACAGGCUGCUUUCACGUUCUCUUCAUGCUGCUGAGCUGGCGACCUGAUGGUCACCAGAAGCUUUAGGGGAUGACCUGGAGGAGAUUGUGGAGCUGUUUGUUUUUCACUGGAUUAGUUCAGUUCAGACCACAGAGGCAAAAAUGUGCUUUUCAUCCUGACCUUAGUAUGCUUUCUACACUUCUCUUUUUCCUUCUCUUUGGAUAGAGUGGUGAAGCCUUGACCAACAUUUUCCUAUUUUUGUUUACUUUUUGCCAUCCAGGGCCAUUUUUUGUUGGAACGGAGAUAAGUGUUUCAGUAGGUCUGUUUUUGUUACUAAAACAGAACAGGAAUUUGAUAUUUGGCCUAACAAUAAGACUGAGGAAGAUGGAAAGAUGUUCCACUGGUCCGUCACCCUGGCACAUCAAAAGAGGGAACGCAAGACUGUCAACAGACAGUCUUCCACCCAGACUGUAAACAAUACUGAGUAAUAAUAUUAUUGAUCUAAAGAUAAAUUGAGAGUUAUGAUAGAUUUCAUGUGUUCUGUAUGCAGUAAGAAUACAGUAAUGUACAGAGAAGGAAGGUUAUUGCUACUGAUGUUCAGAGAAGAUAGUGAAGACGACACAGCAUUGUAUGGCUGCUGUGAGGGAAAUUUUGAACAUUAAAAAUUUAUAUUUCAAACUUGCAGAAGUUUUUUGUAAUUUUUUUCACUCUCCUUAUGUGUAUGAGCACUUUGCUCACAGUUAGUUCAAUUAUUGGUCAUCAACCAACACGUUUUUUUUAUCUAAAGAAAAUGACAGUACACAAACUACAGGGACAGACUGCCUCCAGCAACCUGUGGUUUAGUAUCUUGUUCAGAGGCACAAUGGACACCCCAGAUCGGUUUUAUCUGGACGCACGCGCAUUGCCAGGGUUACGCGCUGGCCCGAAGUUAACUUCCGGUCUGUGUUUGUUUAUCGGUAACAAAGUAUGGCGCCGACUACAAACGCAGUUAAAAUUAAGGUGAUGAGUAGACUGAAGUUGGGCUCAGGUUGUUGGAACAGGCCUCUGGAACAAAUACCUUAUCGAAAAUAAAAAUGUUUCGGUUUCCUAAAAACGAAGGGAGACGGCGAGCAUGGAUCACCGCUGUGCGAAGAGAGGCUUGGCAGCCAGGCAAGAAUUCAAGGAUCUGUAGCACUCACUUCGUUACAGGUGCGCCAUCAGUGGACCCAUGCCAUCCAGAUUAUGUUCCAUCAAUUUUCACUCAUAAAAACACCAUUGAUGGUUCACAGAAGUUGGAGCGAUACCAGAGGAGACCAUCUGUGGUUGAGUCUAUGGAUUCACCUUCCUUAGAGGUCACCCAUGCUGACCCUGAAGAAGGAUGCACUGCUGUGGGUACAGAUCUGUCAAUGGCAGACAUUGACCAGCUACAAAAUGAAAAUGUUGAAUUAAAAAGAAAAAUUGCUUCACUGGAGAAGAAACUGGAAUCUCAAGAAAAACGACUACAAGAUCAUAUGUUUGGCAGUCCGUCCGAUUUUAUUUUAAAUGAUGACAAGCACACUCAUUUUUACACUGGUCUACCAUCUGCUUCUGUGUUCUUCACCCUCCUCACUUACCUGACAACAACAUUCAGAAUUCUGCGGAACACCCGGCCAGUCAGUAUGGUCAACCGGAGAAUUGAUAACAGUCUUUGCACAAUAGAUAAAAUAUUAAUUGUUUGUGCAGCACUUUCAAAUCUGGGGAAACCACUUGUACCAAAAUAAAGCAGGACUUAACCACAACUUAAAGGGAUAGUUCACCUAAUAACCCUCAUGCCGUUCCAAACCUGCAAGACUUUUGUUCAUCUUUGGAACACAAAUUAAGCUAUUUUUAAUUACUUAGGCUGUCAAUGGAGGGACAGAAAGCUCUCGGAUUUCAUCAAAAAUGUGUUCUGAAGAUGAUCAAAGGUCUUACAGGUUUGGAACGAAAUGAGGGAGAGAAAUUAAUUACUUUUUUAUUAUUAAAUAUAUUAAAAUACCAAACACAUGCAUUGAUAUUUGUAGUGUUGCACUUGUAUCACAAUGUUUCACAUGGAUUGUAAUUAUAAAAUGAAAUGAUAUAUUCAGUAAUGAACACCAACAACUAUUGAGUAACUGAUUUAUUGACUGAUGA